UACGUAGGGGGCUAGCGUUGCCCGGAUUUAUUGGGCGUAAAGAGCGUGUAGGCGGCCAGGUAGGUCUGCUGUGAAAACUCGAGGCUCAACCUCGAGCUGUCGGCGGAAACCAUCUGGCUAGAGUCCGGAAGAGGAGAGUGGAAUUCCUGGUGUAGCGGUGAAAUGCGUAGAUAUCGGGAGGAACACCAGUGGCGAAGGCGACUACCUGGCCUGUUCUUGACGCUGAGGCGCGAAAGCUAGGGGAGCAAACGGG
rnacentral:rRNA from 1 species